rnacentral:lncRNA from 14 species
CAGGGGUAUAAGGGGCACUUAAAGGAGCCCUGUGGGUUAGUUAUUGAUUAAAGGAUGGGAGACCAUCUAGGUUCCUCAGCAAAGGCAGGGCUGUCCCCGGGUGGGUACCACAGGUCCGGAGGUCUGCUAUAACCUCUGCAUAGGCACGACUGUCCCAAAACAGAGAAAGGACAAGCAAUCACAAACAGAAGCAAACUCAAGGUAAUUAUUAAGGUGCCUUGAAAGGAUCCUGUAAUGCCAAGUGGGCAAUAAAGGGAUGUAACCUUUACUGAACUAUAAAGUUCAGUGCUAAAUAAGUGAAAAGUUAUACAUGUGUGGAAAACCAGUUUAACUCCACACACAUAUGUAUACACACACAUAUACAUAUACACGCACAUAUGGUAAGUAUCUGUCACUUAGGGAAGAUGUUUUAGAGGCUAGCUAAACCUGUGAAAAGGUCAUGCUGGGCAGCUGGCAGAGAGACAGAAAAAGGUACAAACAAACAAGGCCAGCAAUAAGGAAGAAGAUGAAAAACCACCCUGUGGCCACUCUGUUACACUCUGUUUUCAGUGCAGCACUUCUGGUUCCCUGUAUCACAGAAAGCAGAUUGUGAAACUGGAAAAUGUGAUAAUGAGAGAUACAGAAUGGUUUCAGAGUAAAGGGAGACCAGAUAGCCUGGGACUUGUUGAAGCUGUGCACUAACAUCUCCAUUUCAUGUUUUUAGAAUGAUAAAGAGAGAAGAAGUUCAUGAGGAACCUGUACAAAAAAAGAAAAAAGCCAAAAGGAGUAGGAGCCAAACUGUCACUAAAACUGAGAAAGAUGUUCAAAAUGUCAUUAAAAUUGAGGAUGAUGACAAGCUUGAGACAAAAGCAAAGAGAAGGAAAAAGGAAAAAUUAAAAGAUGAGCAUUUAGACCAAUUGGAACUGAAAAAUAAAAAGAAAAAGAAGAAGAAGAAAAAGAAAUCUGUCUCUGGAUUACUGAAAGAAGCACAUUCAGAAAACUUUGUGAAUGUAGAAGAUCAUCUGGAUUCAGAACCUAAAGAAGAAUCAGAGGAACAAAUUAAAAUUGUCAAACAGGAGAAGAAAAAAGCACAGUGUCAUUCCUUCUUAUCAUUGGAGACUAAUGAGAGUCCUGAUGUGGAGCUUUCAAAUCACCAUGCAGAUAGUACUAAUGAAAAUGGAUUUGCUUUUAAAAAAAGCAGAAAGAAGACCACUUUGAAUUUGGAAUUGGAUGGUGAAGUAACCAAGAAAAAAAAGAAGAAAGGCAUUUUUUCUUGUUCAUUAGAGGACAUCCAGGACAGAGAACAUGAACAGGCUGAAAAAAUUCCUAAAACCCCACAGGAAUGUAUUUCACAAGAAAAACCUUUUACAGGUAUUAUCCAGAAUGAUGGGGAGAGUUAUGUGAAAAGAAAGAAGAAAAAGAAGAAGAAAGAUAAGCCUGACUCCUUUUUACCACAAGCAGAUAAUCAGGACAAUACCAAUGGAGUUCCUGAUAGCCCCACUGCAUUAAAUGACUUUGGAAAAAGGCAAAGAAAUAAUUCCCUGGGUAUUACACUGACAAAUAGAGAGGAAGAGGACACAGCUGAGAACUCUGGAAGUAGCAGAGAUACCAAGAAGAAGAAGAAGAGAAGAAAAGAUGUUUCUUCAUUAACACAUACAGAUAAUAAAGACUACAGUCACAGUGUUCCUGAUGAGCAUCUCCCAGCACAGCAAAAAGUUGAGUCUGAGGAAGAAGAGCUUUCUGGGAAGAAAAGCAGGAAGAAUAUAAAGGAUAAUCGUGAAGUCAUCAAGAAGAAAAAGAAAAAGAAGAUUCAGAAAGAGGAGGAUUCGAAAGUUUUGUUAAACAAUGACAGUCCAUCGAGAAGCCAAAAAAUAACAGUACUAGAAAGCACUAAAAAGAACCAAGAGAGGGAAAGGAAGCAAGCAGAAUGUGUCACAGGGGACACUGUAGAUGGGGUAUUGUGCAACAGUAACCACACAGGCUGUGAUGGAAAAAGGAAAAAAGGAAAAAAGAAUCGUGCCAGGACUUUGCUGAAGAACCAGAUUCAAAAGCAAACACAAAUAAGAUCAAAGGAGAAGACAUGGGAAAUGGGGCACUGGAACAUGUGGAUGAUGUAA